AUGCUGGCUCGCCUGCGUCCCGCUUUGCCACGCGCAUGCCCAGCCACGGCCACGCCGCUCCGUUCACGCGCCUCCGCCCGUGCCUGCGCUGGCCUCCACUCUGCCCCGCUUCUCUGCUGGAUGGCCACUUACCGCAGCGCCGGAUCCGGGUCCAGCUUCCCCUGCGCGCCUGUGGCUCCGCCCGGGCGGACCCCGGAUUGCCUCGUCUGUCCCCGCCAGACGCCGGCUGCGGCCGCGACCCAUCGCCCACUAUGCCUCCUGCGCCGGCUGCUCACGGCCCGCCGGGUCCGGCCUCCGCGUCUCGCCAGUCUUCCCCGCACUGUCCGAGUUGGCCGUGGUUACGACCCUUCGGCCAACCGCUGCCUCGCCCCGGUCCAGCUUCAUGCGCGUUCGGAAUCCGCCUGGCCUGCCGCCCAUAGGCUGUCUGCCCCGGCCGUCCGGCUCCCUACGUGCCCACAGGCUCCGCCGGCUGCGGCGGACGCCGUGUGCGCCGCUCAUCUCCCGAGCCGCCGCACUGUGCGUGCGUUGGCUCCGCCCGCCGGUCACAUCGCCUGGCGCCCGCCCACCGGCACGCGGCCCGCGCCGAGUGCAGUCUCAGCCGGCCCCGUGGCUACGUGGCCUCCCGCCUCCUGCAGGCCGGCCCGGCUUCCCGCGCCGUCUGUGCUCCGGGACUCGUCCCGCUCCCAGCGUCCGAGUCGCCGGCUUCUGCGCCACCUCCCGCCGCGCCCGCCGGCUUCGCCCACGCCGGCUUCGGCUCCGCCCACUCACCAACUCGGCGUGACCGGGCCGCCGCCUCGCCCACCCGGCCUCCCACAAGACGGCUGGCCGGCUCGCUCGCCGGGUCUGGCCUCCUCCCGCGCCGCCCGUGGUUCCGGCCUCCCCCGAGCGCCUCCCACGACCAGCUCCGCCUUCACCCUCGCCGGCCCCGCCCCGCGUCGGGCCUCCUGCUGGUCAUACAUCGGCCGCCUGCUCCACCUCAGCACCGGGCCGGCUCGCGCCCUCGCCGGCUGCUCCAGCACCGGCUCCACCGUGCUCCCUCCGUCGUCCUAUGAUACGGCCACGCCUGAGUGCCCCCGACGUCCGCGCGCGUUCUGGCCAUGCGCUGCCCGCCCUGCAGCCGGCUCCGGGUCGCCGGCGUCGCCAGCCGGCUCGCGCUCCGCCGGCUCCUCUCCAUCUCCACCCCGCGCCUCCGCCUCCAGUCGGCCGCUACUCCGGGCCGUCUCCUGUCCCGCGCGCCUCUCGCCCCCGCCUCCAUGGGCCACCCCUGGCCGGCUGGCUCUGCUUUCGCCUGCGGCAGACACUUCCUCGGCCCCACCUCCAAGCCUCACCCCCGGCCGCCUGCGCCGUGUCCGCCGGGUCGCCAGGCCGGCCUGGCCGCCUGCUCCGCUUCAGCAGGCCACCAGGGUCGACUCCCGCGCCCGCCUGCUGUGCUGCUCCGCCUGCCGUACUCCUCUCACCGGCUCCACCGUGCUCUAG
rnacentral:rRNA from 1 species